rnacentral:rRNA from 1 species
CACCUAAAGUUUGACCCCCCGAAACUAGACGAGCUACUUUACAACAACUCAUAGAGCCAACCCAUCUCUGUUGCAAAAGAGUGGGAAGAUUUUAAAGUAGAGGUGACACACCAACCGAGCCUAGAGAUAGCUGGUUGUUCAGAAAAAGGAUUUUAGUCCAACUUUAAGUUUCAUCUAGUAACACUAAACACACAACUUAAAAGCCACUCAAAUGGGGUACAGCCCAUUUGAACAAGGGAACAACCUACAACACAGGGUAAUGACCUUACACGUGACUAAGUGGGCCUAAAAGCAGCCAACUUCCAAAAAGCGUCCAAGCUUACCCACAAACUAUCCCAAAUUCAACCAUUAAAACAAAACCCACACCCAUUACUGAACGAUCCCAUAUACAUAUGAGAGACAUCAUACUAGAACUAGUAACAAGAAGUAUAGAACUUCUCCACAAUGUAAGCAUUAGCCAAAAUGAACCCCCCACCGGCACCCAUCGCCACAACCCACAGUACCACCACCCCAAGAAAACCCUACUGCACCCAGCGU